rnacentral:snRNA from 1 species
UUACCACUCUGGCCUUUUGGCUUAGAUCAAGUGUAGUAUCUGUUCUUAAUAGUUUAAUCACUAUUAUGGAGGCACCGCCUCCAUUCUUGAUUAUCUAAUUUUUGCCGCCCCAGCUUCACGGGCUCUGCUUGCACCCUGUGGACGUGAUGACCUUGCCGCUGCACUACUGGCUUGCGUCGUCGGGGGAUU